GAUGGAACGCAGCGAAAUGCGAUACUUGGUGUGAAUUGCAGAAUCCCGUGAACCAUCGAGUCUUUGAACGCAAGUUGCGCCUCAAGCCAUUAGGUUGAGGGCACGUCUGCCUGGGCGUCACAUAUCGUUGCCUGAUGCCAGUUUCCUCGUGAUGGGUGACUGUGCAGGGCGAAUGAUGGCUUCCCGUGAGCAUUGUUGCCUCAUGGUUGGUUGAAAAUUGAGUCCUUGGUAGGGAGCGCCGUGAUAGAUGGUGGUUGAGUGACGAACGAGACCCAAUCAUGUGAGACCCCUACCGAAUUUGGCCUUCAUGACCCACAUGCGUCUUUGGAACGCUCAUGACGAGACCUCAGGUCAGGCGGGGCUACCCGCUGAGUUUAAGCAUAUCAAUAAGCGGAGGA
rnacentral:misc_RNA from 1 species